rnacentral:rRNA from 1 species
AUAUUGGACAAUGGGCGAAAGCCUGAUCCAGCAAUGCCGCGUGGAUGAAGAAGGUCUUCGGAUUGUUCCUUUUGGCGGGGACGAUGAUGACGGUACCCGCAGAAUAAGCUCCGGCUAACUUCGCUGCCAGCAGCCGCGGUAAUACUAAGGGGGCUAGCGUUGCUCGGAAUGACUGGGCGUAAAGGGCGCGUAAGCGGACGGCACAGUCAGGCCUGAAAUUCCUGGGCUCAACCUGGGGACUGCGUCUGAGACGUGUUGUCUUGAGUAUGGAAGAGGGUUGUGGAAUUUCCAGUGUAAAGGUGAAAUUCAUAUAUAUUGGAAAGAACACCGGUGGCGAAGGCGGCAACCUGGUCCAUUACUGACGCUGAGGCGCGAAAGCGUGGGGAGCAAACAGGAUUAGAUACCCUGGUAGUCCACGCUGUAAACGAUGUGUGCUGGAUGUUGGGUUGCUUAGCACUUCAGUGUCGUAGCUAACGCGGUAAGCACACCGCCUGGGGAGUACGGCCGCAAGGUUGAAACUCAAAGGAAAUUGACGGG